AGCAGAGCUGGGGAUGAGACGGUUCCCGGCAGAAUCUGUGGCCAAUCCUGGCGAAGCUCCUGCAGCCGGCCGGGGGUGAGCUCUUAGUCUAAGUCCCCUGGAGGAGAAGCCUUAGAGCCAAAUGGGUCCGAGAGGGAUCGUAAUGUGGGCAUUGACAGAGUGGACUGUCAGGUGCUGCUGAUGGUGGCUACUCUUGGAUGACCGGCUGGCCCUGGGCCUACGGGUACCUAGAUGCAUUGUUUUAUAAAAAGAGAGGACGGAGCUCUGGCGUGGUCUGUGGGGAGCAGGCCUUUGGCCUUUGAGUUUUGCUGAAAGGACAACGAUGUCCCGAGUGACGAUAGAGGAGGCGGCUCUAGGGUCCACUGGUGAUACGUCAUUCAUCCUUACUCUAAGGGUUCUGGGAAAUGGCUACGACGGCUCUCUGUCCUGUUUCUCUGCCUCCACUCCCUUCUCAUCCCUUCUGUGUCCCCAGAUAAACUUCAUUUUAUACUAGACCCCCCAUAUUGCUGGUACCUGGGAA
ensembl:lncRNA